AAUGCAUCACCGAGUCGGACCCUGUUUGGGUCGGGUCGGCGCGUUGGGCCCGGUGUUCGGAUCAUUUGGUCUUUGGGUCACGGGCUCACGGCAGGGAGAGCCGGCGCGGAGGUAGCGGCACGGAGGCGGAAGACGGAGUGGAGCAGAGACGAACCCCUCCAAAGCGCACGCCCGCACGCACGGGGCACGGCCGUCCGCGUCCGCCUCACCGACCGACCAGGUGGAUCAGCAAGUUCGUGAAGAUACGCCAGUCCUCUAGCUGAGCCAAGAGCAAUCCUGAGCCUCUUCUUCCAGUCCAGUAUAGCAAAUGUCGCCCCGGACAUUAGGGCAAGCAGAAGAAAACUGCAGCCUACUGCAGUUCCAGCUAUAGCACGUUUGCUCAUUUGAGAUUUCCCACUGCCAACACCACCUGAGAUAGGAAGUACCAGUGAAUUUCUUAUGUAAAUAUGGACAUAAUUUACAUUGAUGAUGUUGGAUACCUGAAAAUGAGACAUAUGUAUCUCCAAUGAAGUAAUAAGGUCCAAAAAUACUUGGUGGCUUAUAAGUUUGGUUGCUAAAAGCAAAGCCA